UUGUACACACCGCCCGUCACACCAUGAGAGUUUGUAACACCCAAAGUCGGUGGGGUAACCUUUUAGGAGCCAGCCGCCUAAGGUGGGACAGAUGAUUAGGGUGAAGUCGUAACAAGGUAGCCGUAGGAGAACCUGCGGCUGGAUCACCUCCUUUCUAAGGAACUAAAUCGGAACCUUACACAUUAGUCUUAACAUUGUUCAGUUUUGAGGGAUUUACCUCACACCAUUCCGUUAGGAAUGGGGGAAUACCGAAUGUUGUUCAUUGAAAACUGAAUCAUGAUUCUUUUUAUUAGUAAUAAAACCGAGAACACCGCGUUUUUUGAGUUUUUUAACAAGUUAAAUUGUUUAUCGCUAAACUCAUAACCGCAGUUCUUAUGAACUGUUAGGUUAAGUUAGAAAGGGCGCACGGUGGAUGCCUUGGCACUAGGAGCCGAUGAAGGACGGGACUAACACCGAUAUGCUUCGGGGAGCUGUAAGUAAGCUUUGAUCCGGAGAUUUCCGAAUGGGGAAACCCGGCCAGUUUAACCGCUGGUCAUCACUAGGGGAAUACAUACUCUAGUUGAAGGUAGACGUUGUGAACUGAAACAUCUAAGUACC
rnacentral:misc_RNA from 1 species